rnacentral:ncRNA from 17 species
UUCUUAUCAAGAGAGACGGAGGGGUAUGGCCCGAAGAAGUCUCGGCAGCAGGUUCAUCCGGACACUGUGCCAAAUCCAUCAGGCAAAGGCCUGGCAGAUAAGAA